CUCUUCAUCUUUCUCUCUCUCCCCUUCUCUUUAUUUUGCGGUAAAUCAACAACCGCAGAAUGGAGAAAGUUCGGCGGAUAUUUGAACGGAGGAACAACGUACUGUACUGUUGUGCCGUUAAUAAUAAACGCGGUUAAUAAUAAACCACGAAUCGCACGGUGUUGCUGAAAGUUUCGAGUGUCGAAUAUAUGUAUGUAUGUAUAUAUAUAUAUACGCAAUGGUAGAUGGACGGUCGCUGGCUUCGACUAUUGUAAUUUGAGGAUGUACAUUGCGUUCUAUAUUCUAUGUUACCGAUGCUUGGUCUACGAUGCAAUUUUCUUCCUACGCGGACGGAGUGAUGUUCAAAACGCGAAAUUUUCUUAAUAAAAUGUCUUGUAAAUUCUCUUAUUCUUUUGUGUAAUAAGUUCUUUUUUAGUAUCUUUUUUUAGUUUUUCGACAAGUGAGAGAAUAUUAAUUCCAGUACAAGUUUACGCGCGGCUGAAGCAUAUCGAAAUAUUAGGUUAGUUUUCGAAGUAGAUUCUACAAAUGAGAGGAUCGUUCAAAAAUUCAUGUUAAAAUAAAAAUAAAUUGAAAAACAAAGUAAAAGCACUAUCUCGAAUAACAGUUAUUAGACGUUUGGAUGCAAUGAAUAAAAUGAAAAAGUUGGAAAAGUGGAUACCGCAUCGAUCGACAGAGGAUCAAAAGUUGCAGUGUUUGGAAGUGUAAAGUUCUACAGAAUAGAAAAUCAUUUUUGAAUAAAAUUAUAAUUUCGUAUACGAUCUGGAUAAUGGUUGGACGUUAAUGAAAAAUUCUGAAUGAAAUCAUCAUUACGAUGAUGAAAAACGUUACGGUAUAGUAAUAAAGGAAAUAAUUUUUUGAAACAAGAAGACAUCAUAACCUAUUCUUUUGCUCGACAUCAUAAAUACUCAUCAGAUAUUUCACUAACUACUCGACAUUGGAAAAGUUGUUAUCAAAGCAGCAUUCGAAAAAUUUUUUCGGGUCUAAAACCACGAAGUUGGAUAAAAUAUAUAUUGUUUUUUUUUCGACUAUCAAAAAACGGCAAUUUCGUGCGGCAAGGCCUAAUAGUUAUUCUAGCGAAGUAGUAGUCAUCUUUCAAAAAACUGAAGUUGAACGAGAAAAUUUCUUAUAUUGUUUUUACUUUCGAUACUUCGGAACUUUAUACUUUAAGACAUUUAUCGAUGUUAAGAGUUGAGCGUGAAGUGAAUCGUAAAUUUAUUUCUGUGCCUACGAAAAAAUUGGGUAGAAAGAACAAUUCGUUUCGCGUUCAAGUGUAAAUAUAUUCGUACUGGUGAUCCCAAUUCAAGUAAUCAACCGAGUGAUGAACAAUUAACCAAACUAUCAAACUUAUCUCUAAAUCUCUAGCUACGCUCUGAUCCAUCGCGAUAAACAAUAUAACUCGUUAAAUGAUCAUCCGGCUUACCAAUAUCUUGAACGCAAUAAAACAUUUUCAUUUAUACACUUACAUCGAUAUAUCAAUAUUGCAACGUGAAUCACCAAUCAAUAAUUAAUUCCGCGCGAAUGAAGAAAAUAAUUUCGAUUACUUCGUAUCAUUUUCAUCCCAUCUUUAAAAUUCUACAAAAAAUUCGAGCAUUAAGUAGGUUAAAAAAGUUAAAAUAAUUAAUUAUUAACCCUCCCUGUCAAGAACUUCCUCUUCCUGUUAACAGAUCGGAGAUUCUUCCGUGAAGGAAAUUCUCCCGUGAAAAAUAUCGAAAAAGAAAAGAAAGAAUAAGUAAAAACGAAGGAAAGGGGAGGGGGAGGGGAACGGCUAGCCGAGAGCCGGGAGAGAUGGAGAAGAAGGAGGGGUCCAAAGUACGCGCUGUUGCUCAUGUCGGUCGCGUUAGCAGCUGCGUGGGUCGUUACUCGUUCCUCGUGGUUUAUUCGUGGCCUCUAAGUGGCAAAGUGCAUCGAAACCAGUGCAACCUCGCAUAAUCUUGCGCCACGGAAUUUCGCCUUCCCCGCGGACGAGGAACCAGCCUUAAUUCGUCUCGAAAGUAAUCCUCGACAUUGGAGCCACACUCGACGUACCAGUCCUAAGGAUUAAACGACAUCCAUCCCACCACGUCGAUCGUCGUCGUGAGAUUGCCUCGGAUAUAAUUCGAAUUGUUGCAACGUCUUUCGAAAACGUCGUUGCGUUGCGCGACGCUGGAAUUCUGGACAAAUAUAGAUCGAGAUUUAGAAGGAUAUAACGUACACUUCCCGAAGUGGGGAAAGGAAUUAUAGAAGAAUCACGAACUUUUUCUCCCCCUCCCCCAUCCUACUCUUCAAUUCAAUCAAAUUAUUUCGUGGAAAAAUAUUCGAAAUAUUUUUUGACGAAACGAUCGAAAUAUGAAAAUAAGCAACCUCGAACCCUAAAAAAAUCAUCGAUCGUGCGAAAAAACGAAUUUGGGAAGAAAAAGGAGGAGAAAAAGAAAAAGAAAAAAAACGAGGGCAAAGUUAGAAAUGUCCAAGCAAUGUACAAACGUAAUCGGGCAAGUAUCGGGAAAAACUUUCGAAAACUUCCGUUGAUUGCCAAUGACGAAACCGUGAAAACUCCCUUUACAAUCUCUCUCUCUCUCUCUCUCUCUCUCAGCUAUUCGCCACUCUCGUCGUCGUGACUUCUCUUUAUAGUCGAGGAGGAGGGAGAGAAAUCGGAGGAUCUCUUUCGAGGGGACAACAAUGACGAAUCGUAUUUUCGCGGGCAAAUAAGGAGAGGUCGAGACGAGUAUUUGAGGAGAGACUUCUCGACGAUCUCCCUCCCUCCUCUGGAUUUAUUUCUUUCCUAACUUCUUUCCAGAGUAUACCGGAUUUCGGGCAAGAAUUUUACCGCGAAUCUUUCUUCAGUCGGAGUAUUUGAGAUUCUCGAUAGAAAAGAAUUGUUUCGAGUUUCGACGAGAAAAAAAGUGUUCAAAACGGAUAGCAGAGACAUUGAAUAUCUACGAUAUUAUAAGUGAAUUGGAUAAGCGUGUCACUUUAAAAAGAUAAUAAAACUGAGGAUCAAGAUUGGCGGACUUCAAGAUGAAGAUUUGAAAAAAAAAAGUUAUAAUAUUUUAUUUAAAUAAUUAUUUAAAUUGAAAAAAAGAAACUCUUUACGUACAUAUGUAUUUUUUAAUAUGUUUAUAUUCCGAGUGUUAUUAUUUUGUUUAUAAUAUAAGCUAUGGACAUGCCUGUUAUGGAUAUUGAUUUUCGUUUUAUUAAGGUUUUUUUAAGGAUGUUUAAAAUUAUUUGUUUAUCAUUACGUAUUUAUUCGUUUACCAAAUUAUCAACGUAUUACAAAUAAACGCGUCGAAUAAAUUUUUGAAUUAAAAUUUUUCUACCAUUUUUUCCUCUUCUUCGAUCAACUUCCUUAUUGCUUUCCCGUGGUAAUUUUGUUUUUCCACGCGUGUGGAAUGUUUUCUAAAGAUGCUGGACGGAAUUUCUCGAGAUUUUUGUGAAACACGUAUUAUUGCCUUUUUCUUUCUUUUUUCCCAUUAAAACAGGAUUUUUAAACGUAAAAAUAAUCGUUAUUGCGCAUAUUGACAAUUAAGAAAAGAGAAAAUUAAUCCUCGUUUUUUACAAAUUAUUUUGCGCGAGAUAAAAGAAACCCCCAAAUCGUGUAUUUCAACUUUCUUUCUAUUCGAUAAAAUCGUAAAUGAAAUUCUAUUUAUUCUCGUGGAGAGAUGCUUACGUAAAAAAAGAAAAAGAAAAAAAAAAUGUACGUACCUAUUGUUGAACAACAAAUUCAUCGGUCCAUAAACGCGGUCAACGAUUAAAGUAACAUUGUUUCAUCGAGCAUCCCAACGUAUACGUUCGAAUCGAUUAAAAAUAUGCCGUAUAUGCUUUACACUAUACUCGUUUCCAACUCUGUAUCGUCCAUGUUUAAUUACACGCUUGGCGUUAAAAAAACUUCAAAGAUCAUUCGACGAAGGACAUAUAACGUCGUUCCGUCCUCUUGUAAAAUUGUACACCACUAGAAAAAACUCUUUCACCUAUCGACGGAUCCUUUAAUUUUAAAAAAUUCGUUUCUAUCCACGAAACGAAAACGAGAGAAAUAAAAAUAAAAAUAAAAAUCUCAUUGGAAGAAGCAUAUACGGUUCCAAGUACUUCCGUCAGACGGCUUCCGUCACAUUUCGCGCACGUGUGUUCACGAUCCCAGUUAUGGUUAACGUUUCGAUCAAGAAUCCACUUUGAACUUAAUUGAUCGUGAAUCGAGUCAGCGAUUCCCUUUGCCCAAUGUCGCAAUGCGAUCGAAAAAUUCUUUCGCUACGAGUCGAUCCGUUCUUCUUAAAAUUCGAAGGAAAUUCUUUCGAGAUUCAAAUAUACUUUUUCGAUUAUUCCUCCUCUAAUCUAAUCAAAAAUAUUCCAUAUUCACUUGCGUAGAACGAUUGAAAUUAUAUCAGUUCGUCAUACAAAAAGAUCGAAAAUAUUAAUCUAAAUAUCUUUCUCGUAAUCGAAAAACGAUGCAUUCGAGAUCGCAAGAAUCAGAAAAUCCAAAAGUUUGUUUCAUUGAUCGCCAAAUCUGAGACGAUAUAAUCUUGGUGUCAAUCUUAAUUAUUAAUUACCUCAAAUUGGUCAUAUUUCAUAAACUCCUUCCAACUUGAAAUCCAUCUAAAUCCCUCCCCAUAAUCAUGAUUCCAACGAAAGAGAGAGAGAGAGAGAGAGAGAGAGAGAGAGAGAGAGAGAGAGAGAGAGAGAGAGAGAGAGAGAGAGAGAGAGAGAGAGAGAGAGAGAGAGAGAGAGAGAGAGAGAGAGAGAGAGAGAGAGAGGGUGAAGCAAAUACUAAAAUCUCCUAUGACUCGAGCCACAGAAAUUGAGGCUUUCCUGUUAUUCGUCGCAUUAUCUGCCCCAACUGGGAGCACGUUUAACUCGGCUAAUGAUUAAUUAACGCACGUGUGCACCACAUGGAGGCAUUCCUUUUUAGGAAAGUCAAGGUAGCCUUGGUUUGGUGAUGGGUUUGGGUCCUCGAGAGAACGGUUCAACGAUUUCGCGAUUUCUAUUUUUUAGUGGGAAGGAUUGCAAACGAAUGAUUUCGAAAAUGGGUGGAAAUUUUCGUUGGAGAAGAAAUCGGGGGAUACGCUCGAUCGAUGGAGAAGACGAAGCGUUCUUUCCUUCCUUCUGCUCGACCAGUUGGGGAUAUUUUUCAGCUUCCGAUAUAGCUUGCUCUAUUUUCUUCUUCUGCUUACUUUAUAUCGGAUCGGUGGAAUAGGAGAAAGUUGGGAACAGCGAUAAAUCGUAGGUCCGAGGGAUUUUUACGAAGCCGAUAAGUCGAGUCGAGAUUGGACAGAGAGAGAAAGAGAGAGAGAGAGAUCGUCGGAUCGGUUUCGUCAUGCGCAAGCUGUUUCUAUUUAUUUAAAAAUAGAAAAAUGAUAUAUUAUAAUUUAUCUUGAAUUUCUGAAUCUUUAAUUUUUGAGAACGAAUUGAUAGGAUAGGAUCGAUUGGAAGGAUAACAUCUUUAAUUUAAAAGUGGAAAAAUUAUAUACUCUGAAUUAUUUUAAAUUUCUAAAUUUCCAAGAUUAAGAUAUUUUUGAGAACGAAAGGAUCGACGGAUAGAAUCAUCAAGACGAAAUGAAAGAUUGUCGGAUCGUUUUUAUCAUGGGCAAGCAUUUUUUAUUUCGAAGAAAAAUUAUAUAUUCUAAAUGAAUUGUUUUAAAUUUCUAAAUCUGUCAUUUAGAUAUUUUUCAGAACGAAAGGAUCAAUGGAUAGGAUAAUCGAAAAAAUAAAUCGCCAUUUUUUAUUCUCAUGCCGUUUAAUAGUAAUAAUAUCUUGGUCUUGGUAUUCACGGAUAAAAAUACUUACAAAUCAAGUUCGGUUAACUUACACAUCGAGUGAACGAGAGAUCGCCGUUCGUCGUCGAUAAGGAAGACCGUUGGAAAAAGUAACGACGAGCGGCGUGUAACAGCAAGCGUUCGCGAUCCGCGCACAUUUACGAAAAUAUGACCGUCUCUAUUUUUGAAGAAACGGCAACGUUUCUUAAACGUGGUUAAACGUGGCAACGGAGCCCGAUUCGUUCGUUCUUACAAUCUUAACUAGGACGAAAACAAAAACUGGUGAAUAUGUUGCGGUGAUGGUGACCUCGAAGGACAAAACAAGAGAGAAACUAGGGCUAAGGGGAGGAAGGGUGGACGUGUAUCGAUGCACAGAAAUUAGAUCCGUCAAAUUUUCAUCGCGGUUUAUUAAACAUUAUCGACAGAACGAUCUAUAACAGACACGGAAGAAACGGAUAAAAAGGAUAACUCCCGGAGCGACGUGUUCGCCGAUUCCAUCCACGCGGAAACGUCAAUUUUCGUCAAAUCGAAUAUUCAAAAGAGUCUUUGCGCAAAUGUUUGCACGCUUGUUUGAUAACUUGUCCAACGAAAAUGAAACUUCGCUUUUCGUCCGAAACAUGGAUGAAAAUUCAAUCGCGAAUUAAAUCGUUCAUUGAAGGAUUCGAACGAACGAUAUAAUCUUCUCUCCCCCCCCUCCCCUCUUCCGUCCCUUUUUUUCUCGUUCGUUCGUAAAAUUUGUCGAGAAUAAAUACAGGUAUAUCACAGGUGUCGUAGACGGACCCAUAUUUUUUUCUCGUGGUUUAAAAAUUUGUCAAAAGACGGGUAAAUAUUUACGAGAAAAUCUCGAUGAUUCUUUUUAACGCGUGAUAAAUGCGUAAUCGCACUAAUCGUCAUUAAUUGUUUCAUUAAACUCAAACGUAAAUACAAAUCGUGAAAUCGAAUAAAUCCUUCCUUUCGAUUAGUUCCGAUAUUGUUUUCGAACCAAAAUUCGAACAAAAAAAUUUUAAUCCAAUAACUUUUCGAAAAAUCUUCGCCACCGCUACUCGUGCAAAAAAAAUCAUCUGAAUAUAUAUAUGUAGAUAUAAUUCGGCUACAAAAAAACGCCACAACAUUUAUAUUUUAUAUAGUUUCGAGGGAUAUUUUUUUUUAAAAUUUUCCAAAAAUUUGUUGGGGGAAAAAAAACAUACAAACCGGCAAUAUUUUCUCUCGCGUAACAGAAGACGGACAGGCUCUCGAGGAAUUCGAGAACGCGCCCCGAUAAGCUCGAAAACGUUCCAACGAUAAAAUACAUAUAUUACACCGUAUGUACACCGUAUCGCGGUUUCGAGAGGGAAAAGGCAGACUAUCGCGGCUUUUUUUCUUUUUUUUCUUUUUUAUUCUCGCGGCGAACAGGGGGCGGCGACGUGCCGAUCGAACCGACCGUUUUUUUCUCUCCUCCUCACCCCCCCGCCCCUCCGGAUUUUUGCGACGCUCGAGAAUUCGAGACAUCCCCCACCCCUCCGCAUGAAAAUAUUCUCGUUCACGGAUUCUCGACCGAUUGAUCAUUUUUCCAAAUCCGCAGGAUUUUCAAAAUCCCUUACAGUUUUUUCGUUUGUUUGUUUCGCGCAGGGACAAAAAAAAAAAAUUCUCGAUACGGAUCAAAUCCGUAUCCAGAAUCUCUUUCGACGUCCCACACGUUCGUUUCAUCUUGAAAACCAUUUUAUACAUCCUUUCGCUCUCGUUUUCGAUCGAACGAAAAGAAACGUCAAUGAUAUAUAUAUAUAUAUAUAAAAAGAAAA